UACAGAGGUCUCAAGCGUUGUUCGGAUUCAUUGGGCGUAAAGGGUGCGUAGGCGGCGCGGUAAGUCGGAUGUGAAAUCUCGGAGCUUAACUCCGAAACUGCAUUCGAUACUGCCGUGCUUGAGGACUGGAGAGGGGACUGGAAUUUACGGUGUAGCGGUGAAAUGCGUAGAUAUCGUAAGGAAGACCAGUGGCGAAGGCGGGUCUCUGGACAGUUCCUGACGCUGAGGCACGAAGGCCAGGGGAGCAAACGGG
rnacentral:rRNA from 1 species